CACGAACCCAUGUCCCCUGCAUCGGCAGGCGGACUCUCAACCACUGCGCCACCAGGGAAGCCCAUUAAGGAUUUUUUUGCAUUAAUAUUUAUUAGAACAUUGGUCUACAAUUUUCUUUUCCUGCAGUGCCCUUGGCAGGUUUGGGUAUCAGAGUUCUGCUGGCCUUAUACAAUGAGUGGAGAAAUGUUCCUGCUCCUCUAGUCUCUUCAGAGAGAGUUUAUGGAAGGUUGCUGUGAUUUCCCUCUUAAGUAUUUGUUAGGAUCCACCUGCGAGGCCCUGAAUACAGGGCUUCCUUUGGGGGAAGUUUUCUUUUAUUAUAAACUCACUUUUAUGCCCGUAUGAUCUGUAGUGAUGUCCCCUCGCUCCUUCUGGUUAUUGAUCAUUUGUGUUUUCUCUAUUUUUUUCUUGGUCAGUCUUGCUAAGUGUUUAUCAGUUUCAUCAGUCUUUUCAGAACCAGCCUUGGGCUCUGUUGAUUUUCCUCUGUUGUUUGUGUAUUUUACUAGUUCAUUGGUUUCUGCUCUUAGUUUCCUUCUUUUCACUUACUCUGGGCUUCAUUUGAUUGUCAUUUUCUAGCUUCUGAAGAGGAAUGCCCAGACCAUUGAUAUCAAGUCUUUCGUCUUCUCUGCCAUUCAUUUAAAGCUGUAAAGCCCCUCUAAGUGCUGCUGUAACUAUCUUCUUCCACAAGUUUUGAUGUGCUUGUUUUUAUUAUUGUUCAGCUCAGAAUAUUUUCUUUUUUAAAAUUUUAUUUUAUUGGAGUAUAGUUGAUUUAUAAUGUUGUGUUAGUUUCAGAUGUACAGCAAAGUGAUUCAAUUAUACAUAUACAUGUAUUCCUUCUUUUUCAGAUUCUUUUCCAUUAUAGGUUAUUACAGGAUAUUGAAUAUAAUUCCCUAUGCUACACAGUGGGUCCUUGUUGGUUAUCUAUUUUAUAUAUAGUAGUGUGUGUACGUUAAUCCCAACCUCCUACUUUAUCCCUUCCCCACCUUUCCCCUUUGGUAACCAUAAGUUUUUUUUCGAAAUCUGUGAGUCUGUUUCUGUUGUGUAAGUAAGUUCAUUUGUAUCAUUUUUUUUAAAUUAGAUUCCACAUAUGAGUGAUAACCUAUGAUAUUUGUCUUUCUCUGUCUGACUCACUUCACUUAUUUAUUUUUUUAAAUAAAUUUAUUUAUUUAUUUAUUUACUUAUUUUUGGCUGCGUUGGGUCUUCGUCGCUGCGCGCGGGCUUUCUCUAGUUGUGGUGGGUGGGGGCUACUCUUCGUUGCGGUGCGCGGGCUUCUCAUUGCGGUGGCUCCUCUUGUUGUGGAACGCAGGGUCUAGGCUCAUGGGCUUCGGCAGCUGUGGCACGCAGGCUCAGUAGCUGCAGCGCACGGGCUUAGUUGCUUCGCGGCAUGUGAGAUCUUCCCAGACCAGGGCUCGAACCCAUGUCCCCUGCAUUGGCAAGCAGAUCCUUAACCACUGUGCCACCAGGGAAGCCCCUGACUUCCUUCACUUAGUAUGAUCAUCUCUAGGUCCACCCAUGUUGCUGCGACUCAGAACAUUUUCUAAAUUUCCUUGUAACUUCUUUGACCCAUGGGUUGUUUAGACUUCUCUUCUUUUUAAGCAUUUAACCAUGUAAGCAUUUAUAGGUAUAAAUUUCCCCUUAGCCUUGCUUUUGCUGCAUCCCAUAAGUUUUGAUAUGUUGUGUUUCUAUUUUCAUUUGUCUCUAGAUAUUUUCUUAUUUCCCCUGUGAUUUCCUCUUUCACUCAUUUGUUGUUGAAAAGUGUGCUGUUUAACUUCUACAAAUAUGGACCCAUGAUUUAUUUAGAAGUGUGUUGUUUAAUUUCCGAUUAAUAGGGAUUUGUAGUUAUCAUUCUGUUAUGGAUUUCUAAUUGAAUCCCAUUCUGGGCAGAGAAUACGCUCCGUAUGUUUUCAGUCACUUGGAACGCAUGGGCAGCAUGGGUGGGAUGGUUUGGCUGUGCAGUAUUUUGCUGACGAUGCGCCUCAUGCAGACAGACCAGCUGCCUGAUAGUCACUGCACGUUUCUGCCCACUCUCUUUCUUUUCUUUUCUUUUAAAAAAUAUUUAUUUAUUUGUUUAUGGCCGCGUUGGAUCUUAGUUGCUGCACACAGGCUUCUCUCUUGAUGUGGCGUGCAGACUCUAGAGCACGUGGGCUUAGUUGCCUGCGGCAUGUGGGAUCUUAGUUCCCCGACCAGGGAUGGAACCCACGUGCCCUGCAUUGGAAGGCAGAUUCUCAACCACUGGACCACCAGGGAAGUCCCUCUUUUUUUUUUUUAAUAUCUAUUUAUUUACUUAUUUAUUUUGGCUGCACCAGGUCUUAGCUGCAGCAUGUGGGAUCUUCGUUGCGGCAUGCGGGAUCUUUUAGUUGCAGCAUGCAGGCUCAUGGUUGCGGCAUGCUAACUCUUAGCUGCAGCGUGCAUGUGGGAUCUAGUGCCCCAAACAGGGAUCGAACCCGGGUCCCCUGCAUUGGGAGCGCAGAGUCUUAUCCACUGGACCACCAGGCAAUUCCCCUGCCCAGUCUCUUUCUAACCUGCCCAUGGACAUGUAGGUUGGCCUCCAAGAGUUGUGCAGGGAGCAGCCUUGUACCCGUGCCACAUUCUACACGUGUGCAGGUUGCCUUGAGAUUGUAAGAGGGAAGCAUGUGGGCUGGUCCAGUGUCAUCAACUCCUCCCCAGAGCAGCCAGGCGAGUGCGGAGCAAGGGUUCCUCCUUCUCCACGUCUUAACCAGCCAGUGUAACCCACAAGGGCUUGAUAGUGCUGGGCAACAGAAUAAGCGAAAACUCAUUCCGAAAGUCAUAGUCUCCAGCUUCAAUUUGCAAUUCUUGUAUUGAAUGAGUCUGCAUAUAUACGUGUGUGUAUAUAUAUACUUUUUGGCCGCACCGUGCAGCCUGUGGGAUCUUAGUUCCCCAACCAGGGAUUGAACCCGGGCCCUCAGCAAUGAAAGUGCAGAGUCCUAACCCCUGGACCACCAGGAAAUUCCCCUGUGUAUCAUUUUCUAUAUUAAAAGGUUACUUAUAUUUAUUUUCCUACAGACUCUGUGUUCAUACCUUUUGUCAAUUUUUCUAUUGAGCUGUUAAUCUUUUACUUAUUUACAUAUUCUUUCAUUCUUUUUUCAUUUAUCGUUGGUAUCCUUAAUUAUUAAACAAAAUAGAGCUUUUAACAAAGUAAGAACUGUCAUUGUAAUGCAUGUUGGCCUUUUCCUGUAUCAAGAAAAUUAGCCUACAUCACCUCCAUUAUAUCUAUUAUUAUAUCUGUAGGGGGUUUUUUAUAUACUUUGUAUGUGGUACUUCUUUUCAGGCAGAAAUUUUUUUUUUAUUAAGUCAAAUUUAUUGGUCUUGUCUUUUUAUUACCUUUUUUUUUUUCGUGGCCCCACCGCGUGGCAUGCGGGAUCCUAGUUCCCUAACCAGGGAUCGAACCCACGCCCCUGCAGUUGAAGCUCAGAGUUUUAACCACUGGACCACCAGGGAAGUCCCGGCCUUGUCUUCUGAGCAUCUGGAUUUUCUUCCUUGCUUAGCAAAGUCCCCCAGUGAAGAAGGCCUUCCUGAGAUUAUCAGAAGUUACCUAGUAUUUCCUACUAGCACUUUCAUGCUUCCAUGUUCUGUGGUUAAGCCUUAACUGCCUGGAGUUUCUGUGAGUGUUCACCCCACUGCCCCAGCAUUGUCUACUGAAUUCAGCAAAGGUCAGCGAGGACACAUGCGGGAUCCUGGAAGGAGGAGGGGCCUGAGCCAGCCUUGGAGAGAGAGGAGCGGGGCGGGCCAGGGGUCCCCAUGGGCUGCUCGUUCAUUCCCAUCACAUUCACUGGGGGCCUGCUGGGGGCCCAGCACUGUCACAGGCGCCGGGGAGGCAGCAGACAGAAAGCAAACGAAGAAGCAUGUCGUGUCCAGCAUAGAGUCGGAUGAUGAUAAACACGAGGGCAGGUCGGGGGCGUGCUGAAAGUGAGCCCGUGGCCAGGCAGGCAGGAAGGUAGUGUCUGCGCACAGUCUGGAAGGAAGAGCGGGCUGGGGGAGACGGGGCUCGGGCAGAGGUGGCAUGUGCCAAGGCCCUGUCGUGAGCCUGCACCAGGGCUGCUGGAGGGGCAGGGAGCCUGGUCCCGGAGCCCAGUGGCAGAUGUGGGUGGGCUGGGGGCUGUGUGUGUAGGGCUGCCAAGGGGGUUGCCAGGGCACGUCCAUGGCCCCCACAGACAUCCCCCAAGGAGAGCAGAGGACCCCCAAGGUGGGGCUUUGUCUCUUCAGACCCCCAGGGCAGGGAUGUUCCCCUCAGACCCCCAGGGUUAGUUGUGACCCCCUCAGACCCCCAGGGUUGACUGUGGCCCCCUCGGACCCCCCAGGGCUGGCUGUAGCCCCUCAGACCCCCAAGGUUGGCCCUAGCCCCUCAGAGCCCCAGGGCACAGCCCCUUGGCCCUGGUUCUUGGCACCAGGAGGGCUCCACCCAGAGUGACCCCCUGCCUGCCCACCCAGCACUUGGCCACAUUCAUCAUGGACAAGAGUGAGGCCAUUGUGUCCGUGGAAGAUGCCAUUCGGAAGCUGGUGCAGCUGAGCUCCAAGGAGAAGAUCUGGACACAGGAGAUGCUGCUGCAGGUCAACGACCAGUCGCUGCGGCUGCUGGACAUCGAAUCCCAGGAGGAGCUGGAGAACUUCCCGCUGCCAACCGUGCGGCACAGCCAGACGGUGCUGAACCAGCUACGCUACCCAUCGGUGCUUCUGCUUGUGUGCCAGGACUCAGACCAGAGCAAGCCCGACGUCCACUUCUUCCACUGCGACGAGGUGGAGGCGGAGCUGGUGCACGAGGACAUCGAGAGCGCGCUGGCCGACUGCCGCCUGGGGAAGAAGAUGCGGCCACAGACCCUCAAGGGCCACCAGGAGAAGAUCCGGCAGCGGCAGUCCGUCCUGCCCCCGGCCCAGGGCCCAGCCCCCAGCCCCUUGCAGCGCUACGGCAGGGACUCGCCCUCCACCAAGACCCGAGUGGACCUGCCCAUGCCGCUCAGAGACCCAGGCUUUCGCGCUUGGGAGUCGCAGGCGCAGGACGAGGAACCGAGGGCCGUGCUGGCUCAGAAGAUCGAGAAGGAGACGCAAAUCCUCAACUGCGCCCUGGACGACAUCGAGUGGUUCGUGGCUCGGCUGCAGAAGGCUGCGGAGGCUUUCAAGCAGCUGAACCAGCGCAAGAAGGGGAAGAAGAAGGGGAAGAAGGGGCCGGCAGAGGGCGUCCUCACGCUGCGAGCACGGCCCCCCUCCGAGGCCGAGUUUGUUGACUGUUUCCGGAAGACCAAGCUGGCCAUCAACCUGCUCGCCAAGCUGCAGAAGCACCUCCAGAAUCCUAGCGCAGCCGAGCUGGUGCACUUCCUCUUCGGGCCUCUGGACCUGAUCGUCAGCACCUGUGGUGGCCCAGACAUUGCUCGCUCCGUCUACAGCCCCCUGCUCUCCCGAGACACUGUGGGCUUCCUGCGCGGCCACCUGGUCCCCAAGGAGAUGGCGCUGUGGGAGUCCCUGGGGGAGACCUGGACACGACCCCGCUCCGAGUGGUCUCGGGAGCCGCAGGUGCCCCCCUACGUGCCCAAGUUCCAGAGCGGCUGGGAGCCACCACUGGACGUGCUGCAGGAGGCCCCCUGGGAGGUGGAGGGGCUGGCGUCAGCCCCCGCUGAUGAGCCAACUCCAGUGAGCCGCACGUCCUUCAGAAACUCCCCAAAGCAUGGCCUCGCAUCUGAGCCCACACCCCAGGGAGACGUCCUCCCCCAAGUCGGCUCCCCACAUGCUCACAGGGGCUACGAACCCGCACCGGCCAUGGCCAAGUACGUCAAGGUCCUCUACGACUUCACAGCCCGCAACGCGAACGAGCUGUCGGUGCUCAAGGACGAGGUCCUGGAGGUGCUGGAAGGCGACCACCAGUGGUGGAAGCUUCGAAAUCGCAGCGGCCAGGCAGGCUAUGUGCCGGGCAACAUCCUCGCCGAGACCCGGCCGGAGGACGCCCUCCUGGAGCAGGGGGGGAAAUACUGGGGUCCUGCCAGCCCAACCCACAAGCUGACCCCAGGCUUUGCCGGGAACAAAGGCGAGCUGAUGCAUCACAUGGACGAGGUCAACGACGAGCUCAUCAAGAAGAUCAGCCACAUCAAGGCGCAGCCGACGCGGCACUUCCGCGUGGAGCGCAGCCAGCCGGUGCACCUGCCGCUCACCUACGAGUCCGGCCCCAUCGAGGUCCGCGCCUGGCUGGAAGCCAAGGCCUUCAGCGCCCGGAUCGUGGAGAACCUGGGAAUCCUGACGGGGCCCCAGCUCUUCUCGCUCAACAAGGACGAGCUGCGGAAGGUGUGCGGGGAGGAGGGCGCCCGUGUGUACAGCCAGCUCACCGUACAGAAGGCCGUCCUGGAGAAGCAGCAAGGUGGGUCGGAGCUGGAGGAGCUCAUGAGCAAGUUCCAUUCCAAGAACCAGAGGCGGGCGGAGGAAGACAGCUAAGGCCCGCGGCGGGGCGCACGGCCCGCGGCGGGGCCCGCCUCCGCGGCUGGAGUAUUAUUUUUGUACGUGUGACUCAGGCCCUGCCGCCGUCCCCACGGCCCCCUGCAACCUCUGCAUCCCCAUACCUCCAGCUGGCCGGCUGCCGGCCACCAGGGCAGCAGACCCCAGCCACACAGCUGCCCUUGGCUCUGAACUGGGUGGGCUGGGGGACUCCGGCCCCACUGGGGUGGGGGGCAUGCCGUUCUCCCUUCACCACCUGGAGGAUCAAGGAUGGACUGAACACCACUCACCCGAGUUCUGGCCUUGGGCACCCCUCAGCCCCACCCCAGCCCUGCCCGCUCCCCCCUCCGCAGAGCCGGAAGGGAACUUUCUCUGAGCAAGUUUCAGGCCAGUCUUGCCUGGCGUGCUGUGUGCGGGGUGGGUGGGUCUUGGAGCCCUGGACUCUGCGGGUCGCACCCCAGCGAGGAAAGGUGACCACGGCUCAGAAUCCAUAUCAUUAAAGCACUUAAGCCUCCCAGCA